CCUACGGGAGGCAGCAGUGAGGAAUAUUGGUCAAUGGACGAGAGUCUGAACCAGCCAAGUAGCGUGAAGGAUGACUGCUCUAUGGGUUGUAAACUUCUUUUAUAUGGAAAUAAAAUGUUCAACGUGUGGGAUUUUGUAUGUACCAUAUGAAUAAGGAUCGGCUAACUCCGUGCCAGCAGCCGCGUUAAUACGGAGGAUCCGAGCGUUAUCCGGAUUUAUUGGGUUUAAAGGGAGCGUAGGUGGAUUGUUAAGUCAGUUGUGAAAGUUUGCGACUCAACCGUAAAAUUGCAGUUGAAACUGGCAGUCUUGAGUACAGUAGAGGUGGGCGGAAUUCGUGGUGUAGCGGUGAAAUGCUUAGAUAUCACGAAGAACUCCGAUUGCGAAGGCAGUUCACUGGACUGCAACUGACACUGAGGCUCGAAAGUGUGGGUAUCAAACAGGAUUAGAUACCCCUGUAGUC
rnacentral:rRNA from 1 species